CCCUAUCAGCUACAGACAACUACCACCAGACUAUACUUGACCCUAUCAGCUACAGACAACUAUACCAGACUACACCUAACCCGAUCAGCUACAGACAACUACCACCAGACUAUACUUGACCCUAUCAGCUACAGACAACUAUACCAGACUACACCUAACCCUAUCAGCUACAGACAACUAUACCAGACUACACCUAACCCUAUCAGCUACAGACAACUAUACCAGACUACACCUAACCCGAUCAGCUACAGACAACUAUACCAGACUACCCCUAACCCUAUCAGCUACAGACAACUAUACCAGACUACACCUAACCCUAUCAGCUACAGACAACUAUACCAGACUACACCUAACCCUAUCAGCUACAGACAACUAUACCAGACUACACCUAACCCUAUCAGCUACAGACAACUAUACCAGACUACACCUAACCCUAUCAGCUACAGACAACUAUACCAGACUACACCUAACCCGAUCAGCUACAGACAACUAUACCAGACUACACCUAACCCUAUCAGCUACAGACAACUAUACCAGACUACACCUAACCCUAUCAGCUACAGACAACUAUACCAGACUACCCCUAACCCUAUCAGCUACAGACAACUAUACCAGACUACAACUAACCCUAUCCCUAACCCUAUUAGCUACAGACAACUAUACCAGACUACACCUAACCCUAACCUAACCUAACCCUAACCUUAACCUCAACCAUUCAUUAGCCCUAACAGUAUACUAAACCCCAACCCUAACCCUAUCCUUCCACCAACUAACGAAUGGAUGGGCCCACUCUCAAGAGGACUAUACCUAAAACCUGCCCAAGGAAUCACUCAGCCAGCAACGGGUGGAACAACCGCUACGACAAGGAAUGGAAUCACCACAAUUUCUCCUAAAAAAAACUCUGCAUUUCGUGCAUGCACCCCUCAAUGCUCAUGUCCUGCAAGCGAAGUGCCCUACCUGGUCUCCGAUCUGCUACAUGUUCUAGAAACGUUUAGAACGACCCUGUGGAUUACGAAACCAAAACCUAACUCUAAACCUAAACCUAUUCCGCAACACUCGAUCUGCUUGACCCUCACCAUUAUGCCGUUGAUUGCAACGAACCACCUCUAGCAAUCUAGGCCGGUCCGUCGCUCCUAACACUGGGCUCACCCUACAGCAUUGAAGGUAGUAUCCAACUGCCUGUGGGACACAAAUGGAUGCUCGCCACCUCUCCUCCCUCUCUCCCCAUCUUUGGGACCAUGGAACGCGAGCCUGCACCCCGCUGUCUGUAGGAGCUAGAGGCAGAGUACACCUCUGAAUAAUGCCCAGGAUAAGACUCCUUUAAAAAGGAGAUGGUGCCCUAUGCAAUCAGAAUUUUCUUAGCCAGACCCUCUCACCUCAGUGUAUCACGACCUGGCCAACAACACACCUUCACUCCCAGCAAGCUUCCUCGCAACUGUCUGCCUGCCCCUUAGUCAAGGAUAGCUACUGUGGGUUUAGCCAAGAAUGGCCUGGAGGAACCUGGUGGCUACAAUGGAGUGUUGGUGAAAUAGGCUUGUGGUGGUUCGGUGCGGCGGUUCACAGCUAGGGCCUUCAGACCACGGGACAGUCCUGUGUGUGGGUGGGCAGCGACAUGGGCCCGACACACCCGAACUUACAGGGUUCGCGCCCUUGGCCCUGUCCCAUUCACGCUGGGCUCCCCUAAAUUCACUUGGCAGGAUCGACUCUGCUAUAGGGAGCCUCAGACCAGAACCUUGGAAGCCAUUACAGAUACCCAAGAUGGAACGACAGUCCCAAACAGGAGUCACCACCUCUUGAGGAUCGCCUCUUCGGUAAUUCUGGUCUAACCUUAAUCCCAAACCCUAACCCCUAGCUUCAUUAAAAUGGUACCCGCAAAACACCUGUCACAACGUCAACAGUGAAGAGGCGACUCCGGGAUGCUGGCCUUCUAGGCAGAGUUGCAAAGAAAAGGCCAUAUCUCAGACUGGUCAAAUAAAAUAAAAGAUUAAGAUUAAGAUGGGCAAAAGAACACAAACACUGGACAGAGGAACUCUGCCUAGAAGGCCAGCAUCCCGGGAGUAGGCUUUUUUAACCUUUAUUUAACCAGGCAAGUCAGUUAAGAACAAAUUCUUAUUUUCAAUGACAGCCUAGGAACAAUGGGUUAACUGCCUGUCCAGGGGCAGAAUGACAGAUUUGUACCUUGUCAGCUCGGGUAUUUGAACUUGCAACCUUCCGGUUACUAGCCCAACCCUCUAACCACUAGGCUACCCUGCCGCCCCAACCCUGUUGACGUUGAGACUGGUGUUUUGCGGGUACUAUUUAAUGAAGCUGCCAGUUGAGGACUUGUGAGGCGUCUGUUUCUCAAACUAGACACUCUAAUGUACUGAUCCUCUUGCUCAGUUGUGCACCGAGGCCUCCCACUCCUCUUUCUAUUCUGGUUAGAUCCCGUUUGCAUUGUUCUGUGAAAGGAGUAGUACACAGCGUUUUAUGAGAUCUUCAGUUUCUUGGCAAUUUCUCGCAUGGAAUAGCCUUAAUUUCUCAGAACAAGAAUAAACUGACGAGUUUCAGAAGAAAGUCCUUUGUUUCUGGACAUUUUGAGCCUGCUCCGGCUCGGGACGUGGACCCCACUCCAUAAAUGUCAUAGUUCCUCCCCUUCGCGUCCUGGGAUAAUCCACCCUCGCCGCCGACCAUGGCCUAAUAGUCCUCACCCAGAACCCCACAGAACUGAGGAGCAGCUCGUGACUGAGGGGCAUCUCGGGACUGAGGGACAGCUCGGGACUGAGGGGCAGCUCGGGACUGAGGCAGCUCGGGACUGAGGGGCAGCUCGGGACUGAGGGGCAGCCCGGAACUGAGGGGCAGCCCGGAACUGAGGGGCAGCCCGGAACUGAGGGGAAGCCCGGAACUGAGGGGAAGCCCGGAACUGAGGGGAAGCCCAGUACUGAGAGGAAGCCCAGUACUGAGAGGAAGCCCAGUACUGAGAGGAAGCCCAGUACUGAGAUGAAGCUCAGGUAGGUAGUAGGCUCCGGUAGAUCCUGGCUGGCUGGCGGAUCAGGAAAAUUCAGGUUGACUAGCAGAUCUGGAAGAUUCUGGUUGACUAGCAGAUCUGGAAGAUUCUGGUUGACAGGUUGAUCUGGAAGAAUCUGGUUGACUGGCAGAUCUAGAAGAUCAUGGCUGACUGGCGGAUCUAGCUGCUCUAUGCAGACUGACAGCUCUGACUGCUCCAUGCAGGCUGACAGCUCCUUGCAGGCUGACAGCUCUUUGCAGACUGGCAGCUCUGGCUGCUUCAUGCAGACUGACAGCUCUGACUGCUCCAUGCAGGCAGGAGGCUCCGGCAGCGCUGUAGAGAAGGAAGGCUCUGAUAGCGCUGAACAGGCGGGAGACUCCGACAGCGCAGGAGGGAAGGAAGGCUCUGAUAGCGCUGAACAGACAGGAGACUCCGGUAGCGCAGGAGAGGAGAAAGGCUCCACAGCGCUGGAGAGGCGGGAGACUCCGACAGCGCAGGAGAGGCGAGGCGCACUGUAGGCCUGAUGCGUGGUGCUGGCACUGGUGAUACUGGAGCGAGGACACGCACAGGAAGCCUGGUGCGGGGAGCUGCUACCGGAGGACUGGAGUGUGGAGGUGGCACAGGAUGUGCAAGGCUAGGGAUGUGCACAGGAGGCCUGGUGCGUGAGGCUGGCACCAACUUCACCAGCCGACUAACACGCACCUCAGGACGAGUAUGGAGCGCUAACUCAGGUGCCAUCAAAUCCCCGACACGAUCCGUCGGACGAAUAUGGUAUCUAUAGCACCAAGCUAGCAACUCCCUCAUUACUCUCCACUCCACUUUCCCCAUUAACUCCUUCACAGUCUCUGCUUCGCUCACCUCUAACACCGGCUCUGGUUCUGGUCUCCUCCUUGGCUCCUCACGAUAAACAAGGAGAGUUGGCUCAGGUCCAUCUCCUGACUCAGCCACUCUCCCUCUGAGCCCCCCCCAAUACAUUUUUUGGGGUGACUCUCGGGUUUCGCUCUGCGCCGCCGUGUCUGUUUCUCCAACUCCAUUCGCCUAUAGCCUUCUUCGCACUGCUCUAGCGAAUCCCAUGCGGGCUCAGGCACUCUCUCUGGGUCGGCCGCCCACCUGUCGAUUUCUUCCCACGUCGUAUACUCCAUGCCAUUGCUGUCCAUAACGUCCUCCUUUCGCUGCUCCUGCUGUUGCUGCCUGUUACCACGCUGCUCGGUCCGUGUGUGGUGGGUGAUUCUGUAACGGCGUUCUUCGUUUGUUGAAAGAGAGGACCGAAAUGCAGCGUGGUGGUUAAUCAUGAUCUUUAAUGAAACAAAUGACGGAACGAUACAUGAACUAACUAAUAAAUACAAAAACAACAAACGGAACGUGAAACCUAAUUACAGCCUAUCUGGUGAAACUACACAGAGACAGGAACAAUCACCCACGAAAUACAGAGUGAAACUCAGGCUACCUAAAUACGGUUCCCCAUCAGAGAAAACAAGAAUCACCUGACUCUGAUCGAGAACCGCCUCAGGCAGCCA
rnacentral:lncRNA from 1 species